GCCCCUAUCGUCUAAUGGUUAGGACGUCAGUUUCUCAAGCUGAAAAUACCGGUUCGAAUCCGGUUAGGGGCG
rnacentral:tRNA from 1 species